UACAGAGGUCCCGAGCGUUGUUCGGAUUCACUGGGCGUAAAGGGUGCGUAGGUGGUGAGGUAAGUCGGAUGUGAAAUCUCCGGGCUCAACCCGGAAACGGCAUUGGAAACUACCUUGCUAGAGGUUUUGAGGGGGGACUGGAAUUCUCGGUGUAGCAGUGAAAUGCGUAGAUAUCGAGAGGAACACCGGUGGCGAAGGCGAGUCCCUGGAAAACACCUGACACUGAGGCACGAAAGCUAGGGGAGCAAACAGG
rnacentral:rRNA from 1 species